rnacentral:rRNA from 1 species
GAUCAUGGCUCAGGAUGAACGCUGGCGGCGUGCUUAACACAUGCAAGUCGAACGAAGCACUUUAUUUGAUUUCUUCGGAAUGAAGAUUUUGUGACUGAGUGGCGGACGGGUGAGUAACGCGUGGGUAACCUGCCUCAUACAGGGGGAUAACAGUUGGAAACGACUGCUAAUACCGCAUAAGCGCACAGGGUCGCAUGACCUGGUGCGAAAAACCUCCGGUGGUAUGAGAUGGACCCGCCG